rnacentral:lncRNA from 1 species
AAAAAAAAAAAAAAAAAGAAAAAAAAAAAGCCCUUUUCGAGCAUCUUCCCAUCGGGAGGGCUGUCGCUCGCUCGAGGUUUCUGGCCAGCAGCUCCAAGGACUGUCACAACCAUGCUGUGCAUUUGGGAACGUCAUGCAAUGGGGCUUGUGAAUGGAGGACAUCCUGGCCCCACUACGGGUGGGAUAAGAACAACUCUCACCUCAAGGGUGAGUGCUUAAGAGUGGAGGCAAAGCUAGCUGGUGGAGCAAGUGAUGGGGGCAGGCAUCCCUGAGAUGCAAAUCAGCCCACGUGUGCUCAAAAUGACCCAAACCACAACCUUAUGGAGGCUCUUUUGGCUGUAGGGUGCACUGAUGACAGAGGCAGUUCCCACCAUCUGUGGAUUUCCUCAUCCUGGUAGCUCAGUGAGGAGCAGCAGAUCCUAGCUAAAUGCCUUGUGGUCCAGAUGCUAUGAACCGUCCACCCUGGUUCCAGUAAGAGCAGUGCCCCUACAACACCAUGGUAAGCAGCUGCAUGGAGAUUUGAGCCAUCCCAGGGUGG